rnacentral:rRNA from 1 species
GGUGAACGCUGGCGGCGUGCCUAAUACAUGCAAGUCGAGCGAACAGACGAGGAGCUUGCUCCUCUGACGUUAGCGGCGGCCGGGUGAGUAACACGUGGACAACCUACCUAUAAGACUGGGAUAACUUCGGGAAACGGGAGCUAAUACCGGAUAAUAUAUUGAACCGCAUGGUUCAAUAGUGAAAGACGGUUUUGCUGUCACUUAUAGAUGGAUCCGCGCCGCAUUAGCUAGUUGGUAAGGUAACGGCUUACCAAGGCGACGAUGCGUAGCCGACCUGGGAGGGUGAUCGGCCACACUGGAACGGAGACACGGUCCAGACUCCUACGGGAGGCAGCAGUAGGGAAUCUUCCGCAAUGGGCGAAAGCCUGCCGGAGCAACGCCGCGUGAGUGAUGAAGGUCUUCGGAUCGUAAAACUCUGUUAUUAGGGAAGAACAAAUGUGUAAGUAACUAUGCACGUCUUGACGGUACCUAAUCAGAAAGCCACGGCUAACUACGUG